AAAACCAUAGAAUUGCAGAGCUGGAAGGAGCCCUGGGAGCCAUGUAGUCUAACCGCCUGCAAUGCGGUUAGACUACAUGGCUCCCAGGGCUCCUUCCAGCUCUGCAAUUCUAUGGU
rnacentral:miRNA from 1 species